rfam:Salmo salar isolate Sally breed double haploid chromosome ssa22, whole genome shotgun sequence.
UGGCUCAGUUGGUAGAGCAUGGUGUGUGAAACGCCAGGGUUGUGGGUUCGAUUCCCAC